rnacentral:pre_miRNA from 1 species
CAAAACAAGGCUGUCACUUUCUCUCCUGUUCUUUCUAGACUGUCAUUCUGUCGUCCUCCUGAGCUGUGG